rnacentral:rRNA from 1 species
AUUUAAAGUCUAGCCUGCCCACUGAAAUUAAUUUUAAUGGCCGCAGUAUUUUGACUGUGCAAAGGUAGCAUAAUCAUUAGUUUUUUAAUUGAAAGCUUGUAUGAAAGGUUGGACGAGGUAAAAUCUGUCUCUAUUUAAUUUAUUUUAGAAUUUAAUUUUUAAGUUAAAAAGCUUAAAUUUUAUUAAAAGACGAGAAGACCCUAUAGAUCUUUAUAAUUUUUGUUAUAAAUUUAAUUAUGAAUUAUUUAGAAUUUAUAAUAUAAAUUAUUUUAUUGGGGUAAUAAAAAGAUUAAAAUAAUUCUUUUUUAUUUUUAACAUUAAUUUAUGAAUUUAAUGAUCCAAUUUUAUUGAUUAUAAGAUUAAGUUACCUUAGGGAUAACAGCGUAAUUUUUUUAGAGAGUUCAUAUCGAUAAAAAAGUUUGCGACCUCGAUGUUGGAUUAAAGAUUAGUUUAGGUGUAGAAGUUUAAAUUUUUGGUCUGUUCGACCAUUAAAUCUUUACAUGAUCUGAGUUCAGACCGGCGUAAGCCAGGUCGGUUUCUAUCUUUAAUAAUUUUAAAAUAUUUUAGUACGAAAGGACCAAAUAUUUAAUAUAUUUAUAUUUUAUUUUUUGAAUAUUAUUAAAUUGUUUUGGCAGAUUAGUGUAAUGAAUUUAGAAUUCAUAAAUGUAAUUAUUUUUACAAACAAUACUUGUUUUAUAUAGAUUUAAUUUUUUCUUUAAUUUGUAUAUUUUUAUUAAUUAUUUGUGUUUUAGUUGGGGUAGCAUUUUUAACUUUAUU